rnacentral:rRNA from 1 species
CGAACGGGAUGCUUAGGCAUCUAGUGGCGGACGGGUGAGUAACGCGUGAGAAUCUGGCUCCAGGUCGGGGAUAACAGUUGGAAACGACUGCUAAUACCGGAUGUGCCGAGAGGUGAAAGAUUUAUUGCCUGGAGAUGAGCUCGCGUCUGAUUAGCUAGUUGGUGGUGUAAGGGACCACCAAGGCAUCGAUCAGUAGCUGGUCUGAGAGGAUGAUCAGCCACACUGGGACUGAGACACGGCCCAGACUCCUACGGGAGGCAGCAGUGGGGAAUUUUCCGCAAUGGGCGAAAGCCUGACGGAGCAAUACCGCGUGAGGGAGGAAGGCUCUUGGGUCGUAAACCUCUUUUCUCAAGGAAGAAGAAAGUGACGGUACUUGAGGAAUAAGCAUCGGCUAACUCCGUGCCAGCAGCCGCGGUAAUACGGAGGAUGCAAGCGUUAUCCGGAAUGAUUGGGCGUAAAGGGUCUGCAGGUGGAACUGAAAGUCUGCUGUUAAAGAGUUUGGCUUAACCAAAUAAAAGCGGUGGAAACUACAGAACUAGAGUGUGGUAGGGGCAAAAGGAAUUCCUGGUGUAGCGGUGAAAUGCGUAGAUAUCAGGAAGAACACCGGUGGCGAAAGCGUUUUGCUAGACCAUAACUGACACUGAGGGACGAAAGCUAGGGGAGCGAAUGGGAUUAGAUACCCCAGUAGUCCUAGCCGUAAACGAUGGAUACUAGGCGUGGCUUGUAUCGACCCGAGCCGUGCCGGAGCUAACGCGUUAAGUAUCCCGCCUGGGGAGUACGCACGCAAGUGUGAAACUCAAAGGAAUUGACGGGGGCCCGCACAAGCGGUGGAGUAUGUGGUUUAAUUCGAUGCAACGCGAAGAACCUUACCAAGACUUGACAUCCUGCGAAUCCUGGUGAAAGCUGGGAGUGCCUUCGGGAGCGCAGAGACAGGUGGUGCAUGGCUGUCGUCAGCUCGUGUCGUGAGAUGUUGGGUUAAGUCCCGCAACGAGCGCAACCCUCGUUUUUAGUUGCCAGCAUUAAGUUGGGCACUCUAGAGAGACUGCCGGUGACAAACCGGAGGAAGGUGAGGAUGACGUCAAGUCAGCAUGCCCCUUACGUCUUGGGCUACACACGUACUACAAUGCUACGGACAGAGGGCAGCAAGCCAGGGAUGGCAAGCGAAUCCAGAAACCGUAGCUCAGUUCAGAUCGAAGGCUGCAACUCGCCUUCGUGAAGGAGGAAUCGCUAGUAAUUGCAGGUCAGCAUACUGCAGUGAAUUCGUUCCCGGGCCUUGUACACACCGCCCGUCACACCAUGGAAGUUGGUCACGCCCGAAGUCAUUACCCCAACCGAAAGGAGGGGGAUGCCUAAGGUAGGACUGGUGACUGGGGUGAAGUCGUAACAAGGUAGCCGUACCGGAAGGUGUGGCUGGAUCACCUCCUUU